CACGUAGGGUGCGAGCGUUGUCCGGAAUUAUUGGGCGUAAAGAGCUCGUAGGCGGUGUGUCGCGUCGGCCGUGAAAACCUGCAGCUUAACUGUGGGCUUGCGGUCGAUACGGGCAUCACUGGAGUUCGGCAGGGGAGACUGGAAUUCCUGGUGUAGCGGUGAAAUGCGCAGAUAUCAGGAGGAACACCGGUGGCGAAGGCGGGUCGCUGGGACGUGACUGACGCUGAGACGCGAAAGUGUGGGGAGCGAACAGG
rnacentral:rRNA from 1 species